CCAAGGAUUUCGAUUUGAACUGGAAGUCAAGAAGCCGAAGUUGUAGCUCUAGCCUCAGCCUCAUCCUACUGUGUGGUCUUGGGGAAAUCACUUCCCUUCUCUGAACGUGUUUCCUCAUCUGUGAGUUGUGCAGUAAUGAUUUCUUAAGUCUCUUUCAGCGGGGCCUUUUGAUUCUAUAAUUCUUUGUUUUUGCCCUGAGGCAAGAGGGAGCCAUGAAGAGUCUUAGAGUGAGAGACACGGCAACAGCUCUGCACUGACCAGGAGAUGUUCAAGGGCCCCGCCAUGCAGAGCGCACUGUCAGGGCUCAGCUGGAAUGGAUGGGGAUGGUGUGACUUGGCAGAGAAACGGGGGUACAUUUCUUGAGCACACCAAGCUAACUUUCAGGAGUCUCAGAACUGCGGUUUAGCGCAAGAUCGGUGCCCGGGGCAGAGGAGAGACACAAAGAAUGCUUUCUUUUGAAAUAAACCCGGCUUCUUAACCAAGCCAUUUUUGGGCAGGAAACAAUUUUCUAAAAACCAUAAAAGGAAACCCAGCGACUCCUUUUCUCCCACGGCAAGUCCUGAGUUGACAGUUUAGGGUUUUCCCUGUGUGUGAUGACAUCACACUUGCUGGCAUCUGGGCUUCCUGCCCGAUGUAUCACUUGUCAGGGAAACACGUAGCAGUUAGGGUUCUGCUGAAGGAAGACUCAGCUCCCUGGGUGGGCAGGUGGACGCCUUUCUCAUUCUCGGGCCUGCGGCAGAGCAGCUUGGCCCCGCCUGCGCCUCCGGCCUCGGCUGCCUCCCUGGGGGUGGGCGGAGUUGCUGGGACUCCCUGCGAAGCUGCAUUGUCAGUUCCGGGUCCUCAAAGCCGACAGGGUACAGCGCCUUAUGCCAGCAAAGCUCCUCUCCCAUUGUCCACCAUGUGUGCAAGGUGGAGCAGAACACCCGCAUUGGGUAGGAAUAAAGAAAGGUUUCUUCAGCCAGCCAGUCACAGUAUAGAUACAGGACCCAGGAUCGUACACGUAAAGCACUUAUUUCAGCAUCCAGCACAUGGCAGCUGCUCUGUAAGUAUCGAUUCUUAUUGUCAUUAG
rnacentral:lncRNA from 1 species